rnacentral:rRNA from 1 species
GAUUUGAUCCUGGCUCAGAUUGAACGCUGGCGGCAGGCUUAACACAUGCAAGUCGAGCGGAAACGAUGAUAGCUUGCUAUCAGGCGUCGAGCGGCGGACGGGUGAGUAAUACUUAGGAAUCUACCUAGUAGUGGGGGAUAGCACGGGGAAACUCGUAUUAAUACCGCAUACGACCUACGGGAGAAAGGGGGCAGUUUACUGCUCUCGCUAUUAGAUGAGCCUAAGUCGGAUUAGCUAGAUGGUGGGGUAAAGGCCUACCAUGGCGACGAUCUGUAGCUGGUCUGAGAGGAUGAUCAGCCACACCGGGA